UGAUGACGAGACGCUAAGGCGUUGAAGUGGUGUGUGUCAGACUUCCAAGAAAAGCUCGCAAUGUCAUAGAUAAAAAAUGCCUGUACCAUAACCGACACAGGUGGGUAGGUAGAGUAUACUAAGGGGCGCGAGAUAACUCUCUCUAAGGAACUCGGCAAAAUGACUCCGUAACUUCGGGAGAAGGAGUGCCUUAUUUAUAAGGUUGCAAUAACAAGAUCCAAGCAACUGUUUAUCAAAAACACAGGUCUCCGCUAAGUCGUAAGACGAUGUAUGGGGGCUGACGCCUGCCCAGUGCCAGAAGGUUAAAGAAGUUGGUUAGUGUAAGCGAAGCUGAUAACUGAAGCCCUGGUGAACGGCGGCCGUAACGAUAACGGUCCUAAGGUAGCGAAAUUCCUUGUCGGGUAAGUUCCGACCCGCACGAAAGGCGUAAUGAUUUGGAUACUGUCUCGGAGAGAGGCUCGGUGAAAUAGACUUGUCUGUGAAGAUGCGGACUACCUGCACCAGGACAGAAAGACCCUAUGAAGCUUUACUGUAACUUGAAAUUGGAAUUGGACUUUGCUUGCGCUGUAUAGGUGGGAAGCGUUGAAGAUACUCUUGCGGGACUAUUGGAGCUAUCAGUGAGAUACCACUCUUGUAAUGUUAGAUUUCUAACUUUGAACCAUAAUCUGGUCAAAGAACAGUUUCAGGCGGGCAGUUUGACUGGGGCGGUCGCCUCCUAAAUGGUAACGGAGGCGUACAAAGGUUUCCUCUGAACGGAUAGAAAUCGUAUCUAGAGUGUAAAGGCAUAAGGAAGCUUGACUGUGAGACCUACAAGUCGAGCAGGGACGAAAGUCGGUCUUAGUGAUCUGACGGUACUGAGUGGAAAGGCCGUCACUCAACGGAUAAAAGUUACUCUAGGAUAACAGGCUGAUCUCCCCCAAGAGUUCACAUCGACGGGGAGGUUUGGCACCUCGAUGUCGGCUCAUCGCAUCCUGGGGCGGUAGUACGUCCCAAGGGUUGGGCUGUUCGCCCAUGAAAGCGGUACGCGAGCUGGGUUCAGAACGUCGUGAGACAGUUCGGUCCAUAUCCGGUGUAGGCGUUAGAAUAUUGAGAGGAGCCUUCUUUAGUACGAGAGGACCGAGAAGGACACACCGCUGGUGUACCAGUUAUCGUGCCAACGGUAAACGCUGGGUAGCUAUGUGUGGAGAGGAUAACCGCUGAAAGCAUCUAAGUGGGAAGCCCACCUCAAGAUGAGUAUUCUCA
rnacentral:rRNA from 1 species